UGUCCAUAUGAAAAACAGUGCAUUUUUUUCAGUUCACGUAUGGUUUACAUCAUAGAAACGGCACUAGAGCAAAGGACUAUAAGCCACCAAUAGGGCUGCAAACACAUCGUACACCAGCGCACAUUUGUUUCACACACCACACAGGACACAUGCACGCUGCAGACAUUUUUUUUUUUGAGGAAUCUUCGCGAGCCGCACUAUAAACACAGAAGGUACGGACGACAGGAGCAAAACCCGCGCACAUUCAACACACCGACACGAAAGGAAAUGCGGACGAUACGGGUGUAACCUGCGCCACACGAGCUAUCAACCCUCGUGGAUUUGAUCCUUUCCGCCUGAAACAGUCACAACGCGCACGGAAACAUCGAACACUGCACAUCUGUACCUCCGAUAUCGUGUCAACAAUUCCUGAGGCUACAAUUCAUGUUGACGACAUCAGAAAGUUAUCUAAAACUAAGUGACGGCGUAGGAAAAGUAGGCAGCAUCGCUAAACGUCAUGGAUUGGCUUCGAGACAGCUUCGAGACAGCCCAAACCGUUCAAAUCAGGCCACAGCGACGGCUUGAUAAGGAUAACGUAAGCUGAUCUCGAAGGCCAUGCUUAUGCUGGCUGCAGACGGCGGAAGCAAUUCAAAGGUAAAAUACGUUUUAAAAUUUCUUUCUACGCUAAACUAUAGUGUAAAAUAUAGAUUGUUCUACGGUUAUUUUGUCUCGCAACAUCUAUACGUAGUUGUGUGUAACCCGGCACAAAAUUUUAGUAUGCGAGUGUACUGGUUAAUAUUUUUGUCAUCACAGAGGCCACAACAUUCUCACAAGUAUGCAGGUGGCGCUAUUGUUUUUCCUCCGUGUUCUGUGAUGGCGGUCGUAUGUGCGGGGUGCUACGAGCGUCGCGUUUGCUUGAUCGUGUGUUUUUGUGUUUGCUGUUAUGAAGUGGGUCGCAGUUAGCGUGCACAGAAGUGCCUGAAGAUACCUUGUGUCAUGCUGCAAACUCGCCGUAUGCGUGGCGCGCCAGGCAAAUGUGGCCCAACGAUUUUAUGCCGUGGAGUGCGGUCUCUUUGUUCUCGUUCUGGAAAGUUGGGUGGACGUCGCAAAGAAAUAAUGUGUGUUAGCGCGCCUCAGCUCGUCCACUACGCAGCGGCAUGUAUGCGGGGAGUAACAUCGUCGACGCAGCACCGGCAACUUGGAGAGCGCUUCGCGACCGCGUCGUACCAUUCAAAAGUGGCGAGGCUGUGACCCAUAACAGUGCCCACAUAACGGAGGAGCCACCAGACCCCUUGGCUAUGCCUGCCGUAGUGCAACGUGUAAUCUGGAUGGUCGGGUCAGGUACACCUAGGAAAUGUUGUAUACAUUGGCAACGAUAACUGGGGCCUGCUCCAGUGCCAUCGCCGGGAUUCCCUGUUCUGCAAAGAACUGGCAUAACUGAUGUGGGGAGCCCUGGCGCUCGGCGUAGGAGCGUCACAGGGGCUCCUUGUCGGUGCUUGAAGGACGGCAAUGCUGUUGAGAAGCCGACAUUGAGCCCCGAUAAAUUGGAAGCUGUGGGUAGUAAGUAUCAUUCACAUUUUUUCAAGUUUUUGUAAUGUUUGUAACAAUGCAUGUAUUGCACCGAAAUGAUUAACUUUUCAGAUGCAUUUGAUGCAUAUCUUUCGAAAUGUGGUGCCCCUGAGGAGAAAAAAUCAUCUUAUGCUUGGUUUUGGCCGAGCGGUUGAAUCGAGUGACAAAGUUUUUCGCGUUUAGGUAGCCCAAGAAGAAACAAAAGCAGAAUUAACAAACCAGCUUAUUUGUGGCUACUCAUGAGUUGCAUUUCUUUGUUUAAAAGUGCCUGCGAAGUGGCGCUAACCUACUUAUCAGGUCCAGAAUUUUCGAUUAACACCGCUUCCAAAAGCUCGCGUUCUAAUUUGGUUUUUCCACGGCCAGAACUUCCGUAUUCGUCGUCCGCGGAUAGCAACAACUUUUGCAGUGUAGAGCAAUAUUCAACCCUUCUCCCGAUAUGCAACAGCUGUAGCGUAGUUGUAGCCGGUCGUUCAGGCACUGAAUUGCAGUGCAGAUGUAGGCAACAACAGAAGAGUCAAGACGAGAGACAUGCGGCAACUCUUUAACAAAAAGCUUUAUUUUUGCUGGCCCAUGUUUAUAGCCGUCAGUCACUGCAUUGCACAUGCGCAAUUCGCACCCUUAGGAAGAAAGUAAACUCUGUCUGACAAGUGUACAGAAGGUGUGCUGAUACACACAGAGCCAAGUCGCGAAAUCUUUUCAGCCUCAAUUAUUUUACGUGUUAGUUGAUCACCGCUUCUGCUGGAAACAGUACACUGAGCAAAUGACGGUUCACAGUCACACGAACUGCAAUGACAUUCAAGCCUACUGUCACGCACAUUUUUCUUGACAUUGUAUGAGUGUUCUCUCAGCCGGUGAUUGAUACAGUGUCCCAUUUGACCUAUAUACUGGUUACCACAAGGGGGAUACAAUAAACCACGUUGCUAACACAGGUGACAAACGGAAUUUGGUGUUUUGUUGCAUAUGCGUGGCGUGCUGUGACAUUGCCUUUGAUUACACAACUUUAGAAUGAUAUGCAAUUUUCUUGAUAUUGUGAGAGCUUAUGAAUGUAAGGUAUGACGGCCAGUUUUAUGUCUGUCAGAUGCAGUGACCACAUGACCUCUACUCUGAAAAGCGCAUGCACCGAGUGGUUGCCAUGUGAUCACUCCAUCUGACAGACUUAAGUGGCUGUCAUACCAUACAUUCAUAAGCUGUCUCACAAUAUCGUGAAAACUGCAGAUCGUUCCAAAGUUAAAGUUGUCUUCUUUGCACCUCAGAAGCUUAUAAAGUUGUGUAAUCAAAGGAAAUGUUUCAGCGCAGCACACAAGUGUAACAAAAAGCACAAAAAUCUGUUCGUCACUUAUGUUAGCAACAUGAAUUACUGUACCCCUCUUUGAGUAACACGAGAACAAGGUGAGGGCAGGAGCCAACGUUUCGA